rnacentral:lncRNA from 1 species
CCCAGGCCGUCCCUCCCUGGAACCAAGUGCUCUUCUGACUCAUCCCUUGUGCAGACCAAAUUUAUCGAAAAGCACUUGCUGGCCGUGAGGUUCUUCCCUUGCUGACCCUUUGUGCUGCAGACCCGCUGAGGACAGACUAUGGGGAACAUUUCUGAAAGUAGGUCCUCGCCGGCACUGACUGUGGCCAGCUGGAGCAGCCCUGGACAAGUUGAUUUCUUGCCUUCAGAAGUUUUUCUUCUCUGGACAUAGCAGAAGACACAUCUGUAGGACUUCUGCAGCCAAGAUUGAUCCCCCAUGCUGCUCUGACAGGCUGGACUCUCCUUCUUACCUCCAUCAUGAGUCUCUGAAUUGAGUGACAUGGUACAAAAACUCUAUGUCCCUUUAUGUUAUUAUUGUACCCAAUUCCAUCUUCAUACAUUAUGUGUUCAUCAAAACAUCUGUGCUUAUUAAUUAUACCGUUUCUUUCUAAAUAAAAUAGGAGAAAAGCUUACAAA